UCGACAUCAUUCCAUGGCCACAUCUGACAUCGGGCCAUGGGCACGCCCUGCCAUGCCCGAUGUCGUGCUAUGGCCAUGUCCGACAUCGUUCCAUGGCCGCGUCUGACGUCAGGCCAUGGUCAUGCCCUGCCACGUCUGAUGUCAUGCCAUGGCCAUGUAAUCCCUCAUCCCAUAUCUUGCCAUGUCCUGCAUGGUGCCAUGGCCAAGACCUACCACGUCCGGUAUCGUGCCAUGGCCGCAUCUGACAUUGUGCCAUAGCCGCGUCUGACAUCAUCCACGCCCUGCCUGGUACUGGCAUUGCUCAUGGCAGCAUCUGGUUUUUGGCAACGGAAUGAUGGAGCGUCGUGUGCAUGGUGCCGCAAGGUGCCAUGUGCACGGGGCUAAGCUCAGUACAUAUCGAAUGUCGUGUGGUUGUUGUGGGUUGUGUCUAUGCCUUUAACUUGUGGCACCUUCUUCGUGCGGGCUUCUUCACCGACCUUGAUCUUCUUGUGAACUAUGCCUGAGCGGGGCGAAGCUAGAGGAAACUCUGGUAGAGGCCCGCAGCGAUACUGACAUGCAAAUUGUUCGUCUGACUUGGGUAUAGGGGCGAAAGACUAAUCGAACCGUCUAGUAGCUGGUUCCCUCCAAAGUAUCCCUUAGGAUACCUGGAGCUCGCGUGCGAGUUCUAUCGGGUAAAGCCAAUAUUUAGAGGCAUGGGGGCCGCAAUGCCCUCGACCUAUUCUCAAACUUUAAAUAGGUAGGACGGUGCGACUGCUUUGUUGAGCCACACCACAAAAUCAAGAGCUCCAAGUGGGCCAUUUUUGGUAAGAAGAACUAGCGAUGCGGGAUGAACCGGAAGUCAGGUUACAGUGCCAAACUGCGAGCUAACCUAGAUCCCACAAAGGAUGUAGGUCGAUUAAGACAGCAGGAUGGUGGUCAUGGAAGUCAAAAUCCGCUAAGGAGAGUGUAACAACUCACCUACUGAAUCAACUAGCUCCAAAAAUGAAUGGCGCUUAAGCGCAUGACCUACACCUGGACGUCGGGUCAAGUUCGAAGCCUCGAUGAGUAGGAGGGCGCGGCGGUCGCUGUAAAACCUUAGGCGUGAGUCUGGGCGGAGCAGCCUUCAGUGCAGAUCUUAGUGGUAGUAGCAAAUAUUCAAAUGAGAACUUUGACAGCCGAAGAGGGGAAAGGUUCCAUGUGAACAUCACUUGCACAUGGGUUAGUCGAUCCUAAGGGUUAGGGGAACCCUGACAGAUAGCGCGUUUUGCGCGUACUUCGAAAGGGAAUCAGGUUAAAAUUCCUAAACUAGGGCGUGGCGGUUGACAGCAAUGUUAGGAAGUCCGACGACGUUGGUGGGGGCCUCGGAAAGAGUUAUCUUUUCUGUUUAACAGCCUGCUCACCCUGGAAAUUACUUAGGCGAAGGUAGGGUCCAGCAGCUGGAAGAGCACCGCACGUCGCGUGGUGUCCGGUGCGCCCCCGGUGGCCCUUGAACAUUUGGAGGACCGAGUGUCAUCCAUGCCCGGUCGUAUCAUAACCGCAUCAGGUCUCCAAGGUGAACAUCCUCUGGUCGAUGGAAUAAUAUAGGCAAGGGAAGUCGACAAAAUAGAUCCAUAACUUCGGAAAAAGGAUUGUCUCUAAGGGUUGGGGACAGGGGUCCCAGUCGUGAACACAUCAGCUGUCGGUGGACUGCUCGAUCUGCUCCUGCGGCGAGAGCGGGUCACCACGUGCCAACCGGGGAACGGAAUGGGAACGGCUCCUUCGGGGGCCUUCCCCGGGCGUCGAACAACCAACUUAGAACUAGUACGGACAAGGGGAAUCUGACUGUUUAUUUAAAACAAAGCAUUGCGAUGGUCCCGGCGGAUAUUUAUGCAAUGUGGUUUCUGCCAAUGCUCUAAAUGUCAAAGUGAAGAAAUUCAACCAAGCGCGGGUAAACGACGGGAGUAACUAUGACUCUCUUAAGGUAGCCAAAUGCCUCGUCAUCNAAGGUGAACAUCCUCUGGUCGAUGGAAUAAUAUAGGCAAGGGAAGUCGACAAAAUAGAUCCAUAACUUCGGAAAAAGGAUUGUCUCUAAGGGUUGGGGACAGGGGUCCCAGUCGUGAACACAUCAGCUGUCGGUGGACUGCUCGAUCUGCUCCUGCGGCGAGAGCGGGUCACCACGUGCCAACCGGGGAACGGAAUGGGAACGGCUCCUUCGGGGGCCUUCCCCGGGCGUCGAACAACCAACUUAGAACUAGUACGGACAAGGGGAAUCUGACUGUUUAUUUAAAACAAAGCAUUGCGAUGGUCCCGGCGGAUAUUUAUGCAAUGUGGUUUCUGCCAAUGCUCUAAAUGUCAAAGUGAAGAAAUUCAACCAAGCGCGGGUAAACGACGGGAGUAACUAUGACUCUCUUAAGGUAGCCAAAUGUCUCGUCAUCAAAUUAGUGACGCACAUGAAUGGAUUAACGAGAUUCCCACUAUCCUUGUCUA
rnacentral:rRNA from 1 species